UACAGAGGGUGCGAGCGUUAAUCGGAAUUACUGGGCGUAAAGCGCGUGUAGGCGGCUCUUCAAGUCGAGUGUGAAAGCUCCAGGCUUAACCUGGGGAAUUGCGCUCGAUACUGUUGAGCUAGAGUGUGGAAGGGGGCUACUGGAAUUCCGUGUGUAGCGGUGAAAUGCGUAGAGAUCCGGAAGAACACCGGAGGCGAAGGCGGCUUCUGGGGCGUGAUCUGACGC
rnacentral:rRNA from 1 species